GUUUGAGGUUGAGCAGAGGCGUGACUUCAGCAUUGCCAUAUCCAGCAAAUGUGAUUGCAGCAGUACCGUUCUCCUCAUCUAUCUCUUCAAUCUCAGCUUCGUAACACCUGUAAAGAUAUCAUGGCUGUAAGCAUAGCAGAUACAGCACAGUACACAGCAAUGCAAGUUUCCAGCCACUGCCCUGCCACUGUGAUUGGACUUGGAGGCACCACUUCUAUGGAUUUGCCCCACAACACGUUAUGUCUAUGCUGCUGAUCCCACAAAUAACACUGCCCAGAGGCAAGGCCAGCAGCAGGGUGAACUGGGAGCGAUUCUAAUCAGGUUUGCCGGGGCAGAAACGGAACGUGCUGGUCCAGCACAGGCACAGGCGUUCUUUGCAACUGCUGGCUGUGGGGUGAUUUGAAUAAAGAAACUGUACUGGUGAUGAGGAACAGCCUUUUUCAAAAUGGAUGUCCGUGGUAGCUCAUGAAACAAUACAAAGCAUGAAGAUUCAACGUUCCUGACGCCACCGUUUUCCUUAGUCAAGAUCCAAGAUGACAAGUACUAUUGGUCUGAGUUCUAACACUGCUCCUUCACUCACAGAGCGGGUGGUAGUAGCAGUAAUCUGCAAAUCCAGGAAGCAUCAUGGCUUGUGAUAUGUGUAUCAGCAGGUCAAAUAGAGUACAGCUGUGCACUGAUUACCUGAAGGUAAGCGUUUCAGAUAUACAGAAACCACUGUAAUUUUGAGACAGUUGACUUAUUCCUGCCUCCUUCAUAAGUCGUUUAUCUAUUAAAAUAGUUUAUUGUAGAACUAGAGUGAAUAUGCACACAGAUUACUCAAUCAACAAUUCCCUGACUUUACCAGUUGUUUAAAGGGUAGGCUAUAAACAAACUUGUAGUAAAAUCUUAUUUUGCCUACGUAUCUUAAUACUAGACACAGAUAGUGGACAGAAACUUGAAUCAUAUACACCAUGUCUUGAAUUGGUUAGGGAUCCAAUACAUCUGUUUUGUUGUUCUAACAUAUAGUAUACUAUAGUGCUAGUGAGAACACAACUGGAGUAUUGCACAUAGUAGGGGGGCAUCACAUUACAGUAACAGCUGAGGAACUGGAAGGUGCAGAAAAGCGCCAUUAGGUUUAUGCAGAGUUUCAUGGAUUAGAGAAACUAGAUUUGUAGAAAUAAGGGAAUGGGAGAAAGAGAAAACUAUCCCAUAAAACUCUUAAAGAAAGUAGUAAGUUGAAAAAACAUGAGGGCACCAACUGAAACUAACAGAACAGGCAUUGAAGGAGGUUGAAAACAAGAAGUUUAUUUAAGCAGAAAAUAAUGUGGUACCCACUACCAAAGCAGGAAGAGAAGCUGCAACUGUCUCAUGUAUUCAGACAUCACACUGCAUUUAUGGGGGAGGAGGAGGUGGCUCUGCACUCUAGAUAGACUAGCUCAUGAAUUACAGUAAAAUAACACUACAGAAAUCUUUAAAGGCUGAAUGGCUCAUUUUUAAAGCAAGAUUUGUGGGGAAGAGUUAGAAUGUGUUCUUAUUGCCUACCAUCGCAAAACUGCUAAUUAAGGUAGCCACAUGCAGCCAAAUAAGCUAUACAGUGUGACUUGCUGCCACCUUCCUAUGACAUGGAGAUGCAACCUGUGGAGACUACAGGUCCCAACAUGCAAAGAUCCAUCCUUAUGAGAGUGGCUUUUCACACAAGUCAAGAUGGAGCUCUGUAUUGUGGAGUGCAUAGUUUCCAUAGCUUGUUACACCAUAUUAAAGAGGAGGCUGGCUGCAAUCCACUCUAGUUCGUGCAAGUUAGAUUUGAUCCUUGGUUGCAUAGGUACCUUGCUAGAAGUCCCUCAGUAAAGUAAAAGAUGGGGAGCCCAUUUUAUAUAUGAAAAUAUCUUGGUCAAAGCUGAGCAUGCUGUGUAUGGUAAUGAUGGAUGCAAUACUGAGAUAAAGGAUUGUUUAAGAUACAUAACUGAUAAUCUUUAGAAUGAACAGGAAACAACAAUUUAAUUGAGACACGAAAAAAAUAAAGUUGCAUUUAUUUUCCACUUUUAAGGUGGAAUGUAUGAGUAGCAAACUUUUUGGAGCUGGGAAUGCAAACAUCUUCCCUGUUCUGUGCAGAGAGCUUUUAUUUAAUUUUUUUUUUUCCAAGUUGUCCUUUCACAUCAGUGAUUUCCACGCAUCAAAGCAGACCUUGUAUUGGUAUUAGAAAUAUGAGUUUUGCUCUGCAUUUUAAAAAUAUACACAUGCUUUUAAGAAUGUGCAAUUAAGUAUAUUCUGAUCAUACUACAACGUUCUCUGUGGACAAAAGACCUUUACAUUUAAAAGGAAAUCUAAAGCUUAUUGAUAGAAGACAUUGAUUUAGCUUGUUUUUGAGUUGUAUUUUUAUUGUUACCAUUUCUUCAAGCAGCAGCAGCUACUGAAUGCUGCAGUGGGUAAUUUUAUCUACUUAAGUUUUGUGAAUAAUAACUUGGCUGCUAUAGUGCUCGCUCACGCGCUCUCUCUCUCUCUCUCGAGCAAUAACAUAGUAGUAGUUUGAACCUAUACCCUAACGUUUAAGAAAACAUUAAAUACAGGCACAAUUAUGUGCCAAUUUUGUUGCCUGAAGUGAUAAAGGCCUUUUUAAUCAAGUUGAAGGUGUUCAUGUCAUUGUCCAAAGUGGGUCUAAUGAGGACUUUGAGUAGCUUUUAUCUAUCAACAAAAAGUAACUUAUGAGAUUAAGUCUAAACAUAUUCCAGGUGGUGGCACAUUUAACACUGCAUAACAAAUCUGGCAUUCCUUACAUACCUAGAACUUCUAUUAAAAAGUCAGUGAGAGGCUAAGGUGUGCCAGGAUUUCAGACUUACGCUGUAAAAGUAUUUCAGCUAUCUUUAUAGAUGUGAAAACAACAAGGAGUCCAGUGGCACCAUAAGACUAACAGAUUUAUUUGAGCAUAAGCUUUCAUGGGUAAAAAACACACUUCUUCAGAUGUUUAUGCCCAAAUAAAUCUGUUAGUCUUUAAGGUGCCACCGGACUCCUCGUUGUUUUUGUGGAUACAGACUAACACCGCUACCCCUUUGAUACUUGAUUUGUAGAUGUGAUUGAACGUGUACAUAAUGAAUAAACCAAAUCAGCAUCAAAUUAAUUUCUCCACAUACAUUUGUGUUGACUCAGUGCUCAGGAUAGCCCAAAUGCUGUGACAAAUGGAAAUAGCUACAUAGUUUAAAUGUAGCAUGCAAUGGCUUUAUUUAAAAAAUGCAGACGACAUGAGUGGAGAUUAGAUUCAAUUACAAGGUGAUAAAAUUUGAUGCCUACAAUUUACUGGUGUAUUAUUCUAAUGCCACAAAAAGGCCAAUGAAGAAGAUUGGGAAAGGCUGUCUUUGCACAAAUUUUAUAAAAAGUACAAAAAUGUGUAUAGUAAAAAAAGACUGUUUGCAUAUUUUUUUUCACAGUUCUCUCUCCAACCCUUUGGAAGUUAAAACGGUUCUUUCCGCAAAUUUUGUUCUUCCUUCAGCCUGCAUGUGCAAUGCAACAGUGUGGUCACUAUCAACUUGAGCUAAGAUAUGAAUUUUUUUUAGCUUUUUUUUUUUUUUUUAAAUGGAGGCAAUAUUUAAGUGUUUCAGCCAAAGACUUGCACAUCUCAGAUAAGAACUCCUUUUUCUUCUUGAUGGUGAGGUACUAACAUCUUUUUUUAAAAACAAAUCAAAUAGUAGUGACUUUUUUUUAAAAAGCAUAUAAAACAACAUGAAUGUUUAUUAAAGUUAAAAAGAUAGGCCAAACUUUGGCACUGCCAGCUAUACCACUGUCCCUUCAAGCAAUCUGAGAUCAUAGAGCAAACCUUUAACUUACAUUUUGCAAUAACCCUGACAAGUAUUUAUUAUUUUUGAAGUGCAAAUGCCCAGCAACAAGCUAUGUCUCUGCUUGAGAGAAAGUGAUGGCAUUUUUGCUGACAUUACUCAGGAUAGAAAGAUCUCAGUUUCUAAUUCCCUCAAUCCUCACCU